CUGACAAAUGAGGACUACAGAAAAGCAGAUGAAUUUAUUGAACUCAUGGAGAUCCUGUACACAUCAACCCUUUGUGCCUCAACUGAAAAGAGCUCCACCUGCGGCCAAGUCCUACCAAUCUUGCAAAAGCUGAAGAACCAUUUCACAGUCCGAGAUGGAGAUUCACUGUGAGUCUCCUGUCUAAAGAAGACAAUCUGGACUGAUCUAUUAAAGCGAUAUCAGACAGACCAGGUGAGAAACUUCCUUGGAGAAGCAACUGUCAUGGACCCUGGCUCUAAGCAUACGCUAGAGGAAGAGGAUGCUGAGGAACCGGAUCAAUGAGAAAAUCCUUGCUGCACAUGAUCCUGCAGAAACAGAACAGCUGACAGCCUGGUGUCUUCGGCAAGGAGGGACGCAAGCAGACUGACGAGCCAAGAGGGGAGGAGAGCGAGGAAUCGGAGGAUGAGACUGUUUCACUUCAAACGAGGAAGAAGAUGAAGCUAACCCCCCUGGAGAAGCUUUUCGCUGAGGAUGAUAUCCUGAAAUGGAAGCAGUUUGACGAGGAGGAAGUGCAUCUCAUUGACAACAGUAACUUUGAACGCAUGAAAACUACGCUACAGCGCGAGUCGGGAUGCAGCGGCAUCAGAAGAGAAGUGAAAUACGUGCGAGGCCGUGCUGAUCUCCGCAAUCUGAAGC